rnacentral:rRNA from 1 species
GACGGAAGGUGCAAGCGUUGCUCGGAAUCACUGGGCGUAAAGGGUGCGUAGGCGGCCGUGCAAGUCUGGCGUGAAAGCCCCGGGCUCAGCCCGGGAAGUGCGCUCGAAACUGCGCGGCUCGAGUGCCGGAGGGGAGAGUGGAAUUCCUGGUGUAGCGGUGAAAUGCGUAGAUAUCAGGAGGAAUACCGGUGGCGAAGGCGACUUUCUGGCCUGUUCUUGACGCUGAGGCGCGAAAGCUAGGGGAGCAAACGGG